rnacentral:lncRNA from 1 species
CUGUUUGGACAGAAUCCACAAUUAUGUUGAUGGUGACUUGAAAACAAUGAAUCCCAUAAAAAUACAGAGAGGGGACAAAAGAUGACUUACUUCCUUCAGUUAAAGGUAAACCCUUUUCUCAGCUUCAAUGUUCUCUAGUGUUCCACGUGAUAUUCAAAUAAGUAUUGCCCCCCAUAAAAACAUGUCUUUUCCCUAGUUGACUAACAUGUUUCUUGUCACAAAUUUGUGAGUGAGUCUAUUCCUGUUCAGAAAUGAGUGUCUUUGAAAUCUUCCUUAACACAGAAUUUCACACACUCAAUCAUGCCGGAUAAUUUCUAUUACUCCCGUAUGACAUCAAACUCUUUUUGUUCACAUUAUAAUUUGGGACCCUAAACUAAUGUAGGUGAAUCUCAAUCUAUUUUUAAAGUAUGCUCCAUGCCAUGCAGUGCAAUCUCUCUCCUGAUCUCUAAAGUCUAGAAUCUAGCUAUCCCCACCUUUAUUGAAAGAUUUAAAGUCCAAAAAAAAAAAAAAAGAAGAGAAGACGCUAACAGUAAAAAGGAUUGAGUUAAGGCUACUUAAAGAUGGAGAAACAUAAAACUUUCUGGUGUGUACCCAAGAGAGAACAGGAGGAAUAAUAAGUAGCGAAGAGUCAAUGGUACCUUGAGAAAAGAGCCCAAGUAAUAUGAGUUUAAAACUCACAAAUCAAGUUCCAUUUCUGAAGAGUUCUAAGACAGCAGAUAAAAUAAAUAAAACUGUUAAACAACUUUCUAGGCAGUCUAUGUAGGAAAAACUUUGAAUCAAAGCGUUCUACAGAGAAGGAAACCUCGGGAAGUUAAAUUUUUUUUUUUAUCAUUUUUCUUUUCUGUUCUUUUACUCUCCAGGUGCAGACACUCCUUGCUUCAGUCUUUCCCUCUUCAUCUUCUUUUUGGAUACUGGCUUUUUCUUCUUGGGAGGGAGAUUCUUCUGUGCAUACAAGUAAAGUGCAUAGUUCCCUACUAGGAAAAUCAGCAGCAACCCACCAACAAGAAGAAGUACUAUUAGUGCUGGAUUGAAUCCUUUUGCUUCAAUAUCAUUGAUCACAUUUCCC